GACGAACCGUGCGAACGUUGUUCGGAAUCACUGGGCUUAAAGGGCGCGUAGGCGGCAUGCCAAGUCCGGGGUGAAAGCCCCCGGCUCAACCGGGGAAGUGCCUUGGAUACUGGCGUGCUGGAGGGAGGUAGGGGUCGAGGGAACUUCUGGUGGAGCGGUGAAAUGCGUUGAUAUCAGAAGGAACGCCGGUGGCGAAAGCGCUCGACUGGACCUUUUCUGACGCUGAGGCGCGAAAGCUAGGGGAGCAAACGGGAUUAGAUACCCCGGUAGUCCUAGCCCUAAACGAUGGGUACUAGUUUGUGGACUAGUCAUGGGUUCACAGACGAAGCAAAAGUGUUAAGUACCCCGCCUGGGGAGUAUGGUCGCAAGGCUGAA
rnacentral:rRNA from 1 species